rnacentral:rRNA from 1 species
AGAGUGCGUAAUAGCUCACUAGUCGAGAGGUCCUGCGCCGAAAAUGUCCGGGGCUGAAACACAACACCGAAGCUGCGGAAUUGCGAAUGCAAUUGGUAGAGGAGCAUUCUUAAUACCGACGAAGCUGUACCGGAAGGAGCAGUGGAGGGAUAAGAAGAGAGAAUGCCGGAAUGAGUAGCGAGAGAGAGGUGGGAAUCCUCUCGGCCGAAUAUCCAAGGUUUCCAGAGUAAAGCUGAUCUGCUCUGGGUAAGUCGGGGCCUAAGGCGAGGUCAAAAGACGUAGCCGAUGGACAACAGGUUUAGAUUCCUGUACCGCAUAUAAACAGAACUGUGGGGACGCAUGUGGAAAGCAUAAGCCGGGAAUGGAAAGACCGGUACAAGCGGGGUAGGUGUGUGACAGGCAAAUCCGUCAUAUAAGCCGAAGACGUGAUGUGGAGCGAAAUUUAGUAGUGAAGUAUGUGAGCCAUGUGCCGAGAAAAGCCGCUAUUGUUUUAUAUGUGCCCGUACCGUAAACCGACACAGGUGGAUGAGGAGAGAAUCCUAAGGCCGACGGAAGAAGCAUUGUUAAGGAACUCGGCAAAAUGACCCCGUAACUUCGGGAGAAGGGGUGCUCCAGAGAUGGAGCCGCAGAGAACUGGCCCAAGCAACUGUUUAGCAAAAACACAGGUCUAUGCAAAACCGAAAGGUGAGGUAUAUGGGCUGACGCCUGCCCGGUGCUGGAAGGUUAAGAGGAGAUGUUAAUCGCAAGGUGAAGCAUUGAAUUUAAGCCCCAGUAAACGGCGGCCGUAACUAUAACGGUCCUAAGGUAGCGAAAUUCCUUGUCGGGUAAGUUCCGACCCGCACGAAAGGCGUAAUGAUUUGAGCACUGUCUCGACAAUGCAUCCGGUGAAAUUGAAGUACCAGUGAAGAUGCUGGUUACCCGCGCCAGGACGGAAAGACCCCAUGGAGCUUUACUCCAGUUUGGUACUGGGAUUCGGUACUGCACGUACAGGAUAGGUGGGAGACUUUGAAACUUGAACGCCAGUUUGAGUGGAGUCGCUGUUGGGAUACCACCCCUGCAGUAUUGGAUUUCUAACCAGUCACCGUGAUCCGGUGAUGGGACAAUGCCAGGCGGGGAGUUUGACUGGGGCGGUCGCCUCCGAAAGGGUAUCGGAGGCGCUCAAAGGUUCCCUCAGAAUGGUUGGAAACCAUUCGAAGAGUGCAAAGGCAGAAGGGAGCUUGACUGCGACACCGACGGGUGGAGCAGGUACGAAAGUAGGACUUAGUGAUCCGGUGGUAUGAAAGUGGGAUUGCCAUCGCUCAACGGAUAAAAGCUACCCUGGGGAUAACAGGCUUAUCACUCCCAAGAGUUCACAUCGACGGAGUGGUUUGGCACCUCGAUGUCGGCUCAUCGCAUCCUGGGGCUGUAGUAGGUCCCAAGGGUUGGGCUGUUCGCCCAUUAAAGCGGUACGCGAGCUGGGUUCAGAACGUCGUGAGACAGUUCGGUCCCUAUCCGGCGCGGGCGGAGGAUAUUUGAGAGGAGCUGUCCUUAGUACGAGAGGACCGGGAUGGACGGACCACUGGUGUAUCUGUUGUCGACCAACGGCAUGGCAGAGUAGCCAAGUCUGGAAGGGAUAAACGCUGAAGGCAUCUAAGCGUGAAGCCCCCCUCAAGAUGAGAUAUCCCUCCUUCGGGAGUAAGACCCCUUGA